AAGUCGUAACAAGGUUUCCGUAGGUGAACCUGCGGAAGGAUCAUUAACACGUAUCCAACGUUAAACCCCCCGUGCACCUUCACGGAGCGCGCUGCUCCUCUCGACGUCAGCAAUCCUGGUAAAUCAGUGGCGAAAGUAGUCUUUGAUUCAGGACCUCUGAAGUUGUAAGCAGGCAGUUUGAGCCUUCUAUCGCCAGUCUGGAGUCCUGGCCGGGCGGAUGAAAGUGUCGCUAGACGGUUUCUAGGGUAAGGCUUCUCCAUCGCCGGUGUAUCACACGCCGAAGCGGACAGACUGCAGGGUGUAGUGCCCCUUUACGACGACCAAGUUAAAUUAGGCCUCUACCACAUAGCAAGUGCGCCGUGGUAGAGGAAAACGUACAACUGUUAACAAUGGAUAUCUUGGUUCUC
rnacentral:misc_RNA from 1 species